rnacentral:pre_miRNA from 1 species
UCUCAUGAUAUGACCAACUGGAGGUAAGAAGCACUUUCUGUUUUGUGAAAUGAAGUGCUUCCUUUCAGAGGGUGACUCUUUGAGA